AUAUUUCAUCCAUUCCCCAUUUGUUUUAGGUUUCUCCCAUUUAUUUCGCCCUUCCCUUCCCCCCGCUGCCACCACCAGCUCCCCGUGGGGAACCGCCCCCUCGAUCUCCUCCCGAACCCACCGGCGGCGGCGGCGGAGGCGAGCGGCGACGGCAAGCUCCCCAAGGCAGCAUCUACUCAUCUCUGUGGUAGGUUUGAAUUCGCCUCUCCGGUUCUUGAUUGGUUGGUCGCCCGUGGUGAUGGGAGGAGGGGCGUGGUCGUCUCCUUAGGGAAUUCUUUUGGGGAUUUCUGUUAUGGCUUCGAAGGCCGUUCCUGAAAUAAUCGCUAAGAAAUGCGAUAAACCCGUGGCGGAAUCCGCCGCACCAUUGACUUCUCAGAGGCAGUCCCAAGGACCGACUGCGAAAGCAAGCGAGCUGGGGCCUGCUUCACCGAGUGAGAUUACCACAGCUGAUGUAGCUACAUCCAGUGGGGUGAAAGAACUCAGUAAGGAUAGCAGCAAUUCUACUGAUGGUUCUGUGAAGUUAGAUGAAACUGAAGAUGCUGAGAAGAAUUCACUGCGAGGGAGUGUUAAAGAUAGCUCAGUAUCUGCUAAAUGCAGCGACAGAGAGAGCAACCUGUCAAAAGCCAGUGGGAGCGCAAAGGUCAGCGGCCAAGCUGCCGAUUUGAUCGAGAGCAGCAAGAGUAGCCUUUAUCGGGCCAGUGGUGGUAGUGAUGUGAGUGAUGAGAGCACCUGCAGCAGCAUGUACAGCAGUGUCAGCAAGCCUCACAAGUCAAAUGAUUCAAGGUGGGAAGCGAUUCAGGCGGUUCGAACCAAAGAAGGUUCGAUAGGGCUGGGCCAUUUCAGGCUACUUAAGAGGCUUGGCUGUGGUGACAUUGGCAGCGUGUAUUUAUCAGAACUUAGUGGCACAAAAUGCCACUUUGCCAUGAAGAUCAUGGACAAGGCAUCUCUAGCAAGCCGCAAAAAGCUGCUGAGAGCUCAGACAGAAAGGGAGAUAUUACAGUGCCUGGACCAUCCUUUUCUUCCAACAUUGUACACUCACUUUGAGACAGAUAAAUUCUCGUGCUUGGUGAUGGAGUUUUGCCCUGGAGGAGACCUGCAUACCCUAAGACAAAAGCAGCCUGGCAAAUAUUUUCCUGAACAAGCUGCCAAGUUUUAUGUAGCAGAGGUGCUUCUUGCUCUGGAAUACCUACACAUGCUUGGUAUCAUAUAUCGUGAUUUAAAGCCAGAGAAUGUUCUUGUAAGAGAAGAUGGCCAUAUCAUGCUGUCGGAUUUUGAUUUAUCCCUCCGAUGUGCUGUGAGCCCUACUCUUCUCAGAUCUUCUAACCCCAGCGCAGACCAAAAGGGCAAUCCAGCUUACUGUGUGCAGCCUCUGUGCCUUGAGCCAGCCUGCAUCCAGCCAUCUUGUGUCACAACAACCACAUGCUUCUCUCCUCGCUUUUUCUCCUCGAAGUCCAAGAAGGAGAAGAAGGAGAAGAAGGCAAAAACAGACCUGGCAAAUCAGGUCAGACCACUUCCUGAGCUCGUUGCAGAACCCACAGAAGCAAGAUCUAUGUCUUUUGUUGGCACACAUGAGUACUUGGCACCUGAGAUUAUAAAGGGUGAGGGGCAUGGAAGUGCUGUGGACUGGUGGACGUUUGGCAUAUUCUUGUAUGAACUUCUUUUUGGCAAGACACCAUUCAAAGGUUCUGGGAAUAGGGCAACGUUGUUCAAUGUAGUUGGACAACCCCUAAGGUUCCCAGAAUCCCCAGUAGUGAGUUUUGCUGCGAGGGAUCUUAUUAGGGGAUUGCUCAUCAAGGAACCGCAGCAUCGGUUAGCGUAUAAGCGUGGAGCCACUGAAAUAAAGCAGCAUCCCUUCUUCGAAGGUGUUAACUGGGCAUUGAUAAGGUGUGCCACGCCACCAGAUAUCCCCAAGCCAGUCGAGAUCCCUCGUGCAGUAGCCUCAUCAAGCCAGAAGGCUACGUCAGCAGCUGAUAAAGAUGUAGUAGUUGCAUGCCCUUCAAAAUGAUAUGGUUGUCCCUCAUCUGCUAGUCCUGUGGGUCCAACAGGUAUGCAGCCUACUGUGGCAGAAAAUCUUGCUUCUGGGGUAGAACCUGGAUGAUGGUCCAAGAAAAUAUUGCUCAAAGGUUUUUGCUAAUUUGUGAUGCCGAAAACGUGUAAUACUUCUUGACGCCUGGCGGGUACAGCGAGGGCCGCAACGCACAUCUUCCAGUCGUACAGAGAUCAGCCUAUGGCAAAUAUUCAUCUGUUUUCUAUUCAUGUGAUUUGAAUGUUCCAUGAAUGCUUAAAGUGAGCGAAGUACACUUAUACAUAUGCGAGAAAGUUGUAUUUUCUCGAGAAUGAACAAAACCGCCUUUCGAUUUGAGUGCA